rnacentral:rRNA from 1 species
UACGAAGGGGGCUAGCGUUGCUCGGAAUCACUGGGCGUAAAGGGUGCGUAGGCGGACUCUUAAGUCGGUGGUGAAAUCCUGGAGCUCAACUCCAGAACUGCCUCCGAUACUGGGAGUCUUGAGUCCGGGAGAGGUGAGUGGAACUGCGAGUGUAGAGGUGAAAUUCGUAGAUAUUCGCAAGAACACCAGUGGCGAAGGCGGCUCACUGGCCCGAUACUGACGCUGAGGCACGAAAGCGUGGGGAGCAACAGGG